GUAAUAUUAGUUGUGCAGAUUAAAAGUACAAAACGUUGAUCUUUAAACAUUAACAUUUGGUCCAAGUGCCUCUUCUGAUAGGAAUAGUAAAUGAAUGUUCUGUGAAUGAAUUUGUGAAGUGGGGGUGGAGAGGAGAUCGGACGCAAGACAUUGUUACUACCAGAUCUCUUAGUGACAUUGUUAUACAAAGCAAAGGUUCCAACCACAGUUUACAAAAAUAAAAAUGUGCAUUUAUUAUAAAAAA